rnacentral:lncRNA from 1 species
UUCAGAUUCCAAAGUGGAGGAAGAAGAACUAGAAAAUGCAGGGAGUUGACAGACAUAAUCCUUAUGGUAGGAAGGAGGAUUAUGCUGUCUAGUAGACUUUCUAGAGGUGGGAAUAGGAUGGGAAGGAGGUAAUACAGGAGCAGAGAGAUCUGGAUUGAAAGAAGGAAGGGAAGAUGUACCAGCAUCAAGAACAUUAGGUGCAGGAGAAUCAGAAUUAGAAGGAAGGACAGGAGAAUCAGGGGAAGGAAAGAUAGGAAAUUCUGAGACAGUGAAAUCAUCAGCAGGGGGAGCAUAAGGAACAGAAGUAGAAGAAGGAUGAACAGAAGUAGGAUUAUCCUUAAAAGGAAAAUAGGUUUCAUGAAAGACAACAUCCCUUGAAACAAAACACUUCUUGGUAACCAAGUCAUACAGUAUAUAACCCCUUUUAGCAAAGGGGUAACCCAGAAACACACAAGAAUGGGCUCUAGGUUUAAGCUUGUCCCUUUGAGGGAUAGGGACAGCAGCAUAAGCAAGGCAUCCAAAUGCCCUCAAAUGAGAGUAGGAUGGAGAUUUGCCAUACAAAAUUCAAGGUGAGACUUAUGGUGAAGGAUUCUGGAAGGUAUUUUGUUAAGAAGAUAGGUGGCAGUUAAUAGACAAUCCCCCCAGAAAGACACAGGUAGGCUAGAUUGAAAAAGCAGGGCUCUACAUGUUUCAAGGAGUGUUCUGUGUUUUCUUUCAACAACACCAUUCUGUUGAUGUGAAUGAGGUCAGGAGUUUUGAUGAAUAAUCCCCUGGCUACUAAAAAAGGAUAUUCCCUCAGUGAUGGAUCCCAGUUCUAAGGCAUUGUCACUUCUGAUAGUCUGAACCACAGAGUUAAACUGAGUUUUAACAAAAGAGAUGAAAGACUUAAGCAGGGAAAAAGUAUUGCUUUUAGAUCCCAUUAAGUGUGUCCAGGUUGCCCUAGAAAAAUCAUCAACUAUAGUAAGGAAGUAUUUGUAACCAGAAGAAGUAGAAGUNUUUUAGAUCCCAUUAAGUGUGUCCAGGUUGCCCUAGAAAAAUCAUCAACUAUAGUAAGGAAGUAUUUAUAACCAGAAGAAGUAGAAGUGUGGUAGGGCCCCCAAGUAUCCACAUGUAUUAACUGGAAUGGUCAAGUGGUACUGAUACUGCUGUCAUGAAAAGGGAGUCUAGUCUAUUUGGCCAUAGGGCAGACAGAACAGGGAAAAGGUUGUAUAGAAGCAAGAGGAAAAGACAAACCAGAAAUAUGUCUCAUAUUUGCAAAAGGAGUGUGUGCUAGUCUUAAAUGCCAAAUGUAAUUCAUAUCAUUGGUAAAAACAUUAUUACAA